ensembl:lncRNA SOX9-AS1 SOX9 antisense RNA 1
UGCGGGGAAGGCGGGGGACCCGGGACUUCCAAGUGUUCUGGCCAUGGAGGCAUGGUAUCCGUAACAUCCCCCAAAGGAGCUAAAGAAGAAAUCCACAAUUUACCAUGAGCAUUUCUCGUCUGAAGAUUGCCAAGCGAUUCCUCCAGGACAUUCCUCAAGAUCAAUUUCUGUUCAUCCACCUUGUCCUGGGAGGGACAUCAAUGGGUUUCCAUGUCCUUUGGCUUCUGGUUGAGUUCACUCAGUGGAGAACCCUGGCAAGAGGCAGGAAAAGGGGAGGAAGGCUUUAUGAUACAUGUGUUGAAUGUGCAGGUUCGUUACAUAGCAGCCUGACCGGUUUGAAUUUCACCUUCUGUUCACCUUGGAUGAGAGCAGUAAUCAUCACGAUCCCAGGGAACAGCCAAAGGAAGAGAAAAGGCAAAAGAUUUGGACAAGACUCAUGAAGACUAACAGCUCUUGGAUAAUUGAGAGAAGGCAGCUGCGUGAACAGUUUUGAUGCAAUCAUGAAGGCAGGGCCCAGUGCCUGUGGCAUCUGCCUUUUUCUGGAACCAAUCCAUAUUUCCUUGUGGUUUUCUAAGGUGCAGAGAGGGCACAUUGGGAACUUUGCUUGGGGUCUUUUUCACAUCUUAGAGGGAAGGUCCCUCAACAUCUGCAUUGGCGGAGUGUGAUCCUCAUGUCCCUCUGAAUGAUCUGGACUUGAGGUAACCAGCCCCUUCCAGGAAGCUGUCCCAUGAGUGAAGCCUCAGCAGCAGCCUCUGUCAGUCCCUCCCCCACAGAACCUUUGGCUUCCAUUUGACCAGCCUUGACAUCCAGUGUCCAAACACCGAUAAAAUUGAUUCCACUAAGCGUGGGAAAGUCCUGGAGCAUCGAUUGUUUCCUCCUCUGCACCCCCGAUACCCUGGCAUUAGCACUCUCCCAGAAUGUACCUUGCUUGUUUGAUUGGAGGAGGUCAAAGCCCUGAUGAAGAAUGAGUGGAAUUCCACAGGAUUGGAGCAGUCUUGAUAAAUGACAGCAGGGGAUGGUGUGGGGAGGGGAAAGGAUCAGAGGAAGUGUGGAUAAAUGAAUGGCUUAAAAAAUAAUCCACCUUUGCCUCCCCCUUUUCUACCAGUCUGUCUAGUGCUUCAGGGUGAAAAAAAAAAAAAAAAGCUUGCCUUUCUAAACAUUUGGAGUUUCAGAAAUGAUCUAUAGAGCAUGUUUAGUUUUUCAAGUUAAAAAUAUUAAAAGAAAAAAAA